GAUCAACCAUUGUGACUUUCCCUACAAUGAUGCAAACACAUAAGGUCAAAAAACAAAAUAUAUUCAACAGCAACGCAAUUAUGAAACCUAUGUUUUAUGUCCACACACACACACACAACAUCAACAGAUACAGGGAUGAGAAGAGUCUGUAUAAAGGAAAUCAAAUUAUUCUAGUGUUUAGCUAGGCUAGGGUAUCACAAAUAACAAUCACUACUAAAAUGCAUCCAUUCCUCUUUAUGUUUUAUACACUGAAACGAAAAACAAAGAACACACAGAGAACACAUCUCUGCAGAAAAUAAUAGCCCAGAGCUUAAAAGGAGAGUAGUUGCCAUAAUCUUCAUAGAAGUGAAUUAAAUAAACAUCAACCUCAUCUAAACCUGCUGUUCUUUUCAUAGAAAAGCUAAUUUUGCAAGUCAUUUCCUAUAAACAAUACUUCCAACCACCACUCACAA
rnacentral:misc_RNA from 1 species